rnacentral:rRNA from 1 species
AUUGAACGCUGGCGGCAGGCCUAACACAUGCAAGUCGAGCGGAUGAGAGGAGCUUGCUCCUUGAUUUAGCGGCGGACGGGUGAGUAAUGCCUAGGAAUCUGCCUGGUAGUGGGGGAUAACGUUCCGAAAGGAACGCUAAUACCGCAUACGUCCUACGGGAGAAAGCAGGGGACCUUCGGGCCUUGCGCUAUCAGAUGAGCCUAGGUCGGAGUUAGCUAGUUGGUGAGGUAAUGGCUCACCAAGGCGACGAUCCGUAACUGGUCUGAGAGGAUGAUGAGUCACACUGGAACUGAGACACGGUCCAGACUUCUACGGGAGGCAGCAGUGGGGAAUAUUGGACAAUGGGCGAAAGACUGAUCCAGCCAUGCCGCGUGUGUGAAGAAGGUCUUCGGAUGGUAAAGCACUUUAAGUUGGGAGGAAGGGCAGUAAGUUAAUACCUUGCAAUUUUGACGUUACCAACAGAAUAAGCACCGGCUAACUUCGUGCCAGCCGCCGCCGUAACAC